ACUUUAAUUAAUUAAUUUUAUGAGUAUUUACUUUUUCGUUAUGCGUUUUUUUUUUUUUUUUUGAGAACCACUUUUUCGUUAUGCUUGAGUUGAAGAUUGCGUGGAUUAUUGGCAGUUCCUACUUGAGUCUUGUGCACAUCCGUUAUUCCCUACGCCCUAAAACCUCUGAUAAACCCUCAAACUGAAUUCGAGCUCUCAAGGAAAUUGAGAGAAAGAAAAAAAAGAUAACCCAGUAUGGUAAUCCACAGUGUAUGUGCAGGGCGAGGAGGAGGGGUGAUUUCAAUUCCACAACCCAACAAAUUGUCCGCUUUUAAUUCCGCUAUACCCACCUCAAUUCUGUUCCCCAGAAAGAAAAAUUCGUCUCUUUUUCCCUGCCCACUUCAAUAUCACUCUAAAAAUGUAUCAUUGUGUGUGAAAAAUCAGUACUUGACACCUCAAGAUCAAAAUCACGAGCAGCAGAAGUUUACCCCUUAUGACUCUCGUUUCCCUUCGCAGCCUGGGCAAUUUCCACCGAGGGUUUAUGUGGGGUAUUCUGUAUAUAAAGGGAAAGCUGCUCUUACAGUGGAACCUCGGCCCCCGGAGUUCUCUCCUUUAGAUUCUGGGGCGUUUAAGCUGUCAAAAGAGGGCUAUGUUCUGCUCCAGUUUGCUCCUGCAUCUGGUGUUCGUCAAUAUGAUUGGAGUCGGAAACAGGUAUUCUCAUUAUCAGUUACUGAAAUUGGACACAUAAUCAGCCUUGGUGCAAGUAACUCUUGUGAAUUUUUCCAUGACCCAAAUAAAGGAAAGAGCGAUGAGGGCAGAGUGAGGAAAGUGUUGAAGGUGGAGCCUUUGCCUGAUAGUUCUGGCCACUUCUUUAAUCUAAGUGUUCAAAACAAGAUCACAAACGUGGAUGAGAAGAUAUAUAUCCCCAUCACAAAGGCAGAGUUUGCUGUUCUUGUAUCAUCUUUUAAUUUUGUUCUACCAUAUCUAUUGGGCUGGCAUACCUUUGCGAACUCCAUAAAACCUGAAGAUGCAAAUCGUCUAAACAGCACUAAUCCUAGAUCUUCAGACUUUGAAUGGACAAGGUAGCAUAAAGAUUUUUGAGGUUUCCUAGGAAGGGAUAAGCUCCAUAUACCAUCUUAUACCUCGUUUGCUUUGAUAUAAUACAAGUUCUGGCAGGCCGUAUAAAAUUCCGGGCAACACCUUUUCCCUUGGGCAAGGCUCCUGAAAAGCAGGGAGUAAGCCCGGAGCGCAUAUCGAUGUUCUAGAUCUUUCCGAAGCUCGUUAGAUGGGGUGGUUUCAUGCAUGGCUUAAUUUUGAGUUUAAUUUACAUAGUUUCUGUGUUUUUGCUGCUCAUCUAGUAUUGUUGCUAUGGAAAGUUGACUAGGAACUUGUUUGAUUGUAUGUUGUGACCAUUUCAUAAUGGCUAGAUUUUUUAUUAAUGUCUCAAAUACGUUGUUGAGAUUUA